AUGAGCUCCAGCUCUCCCUGGCCCUCAAGGUGGCCGACAAGGUGCUGGAGGGGGCGGCUUCUGGAGACCAUCAGUCAGCUCUACCUGUCUCUGGGCACUGAGCGGGCCUACAGAUCCACUCUGGACUACACCAAAGUAGUCUGGGGAUUUUCAUUCACCUCCAAAAGAAAGAGGAGACGCAUGCCUGGCUGCAAGCAGGGAAGAUCUACUACGUCCUGCGGCAGAGCGAGAUGGUGGACCUGUACAUCCAGGUGGCACAGAAUGUGGUCCUGUACACAGGCGACCCCAACCUGGGGCUGGAGCUGUUUGAGGCAGCUGGAGACAUCUUCUUCAAUGGGGCCUGGGAGCGGGAGAACGCCGUGUCCUUCUACCAGGGGACCGGCUGAACGAGCGCGUGGCCUACUACCGGCUGGCCGCCCUGCACCACCGGCUGGGCCAUGGCAAGCUGGCGGAGCACUUCUACCUCAAGGCCCUGUAGCUCUGCAACUCGCCGCUGGAGUUCGACGAGGAGACCCUCUACUCCGUGAAGGUGUACCUGGUGCUAGGUGACAUCAUCUUCUACGACCUGAAGGACCCGUUUGAUGCAGCCGGGUACUACCAGCUGGCACUGGCAGCCGCCGUGGACCUGGGCAACAAGAAGGCACAGCUGAAGAUCUCCACGCGGCCGGCCACCAUCUCCCACAACUUCCUCCUGGACCGCGAGAAGUCGCUCUUCUUCUACCGGAAGGCCAGGACCUUCGCCACAGUGCUCAAUGUCUGCAGGGUCAACCUGCCUCCUCUGUCACUCUGCGGGUGGUCCCCCUGGUUGGCCCCAGCCACCCUCGCUGAGGACAACAUCCGAGGGAGUGGGUUUUGUGCAAGGAGGAUGGUCUCCUGCCUCUCCUGGUGUCUCCCGUGGCUCAUUUUCUGGGAAAUGGAUGCAUGAAAGCAGGGUUCAAAUAACAAUAAAGUUUUUUUUUUGCAAUAACAUACCGAAGUCCCCAUGGCAUCCUUGCCUGGUGGCAGCCCUCUGAUCUUGG
rnacentral:lncRNA from 1 species